rnacentral:rRNA from 1 species
UACGUAGGGUGCGAGCGUUGUCCGGAAUUAUUGGGCGUAAAGAGCUUGUAGGCGGUUUGUCGCGUCUGCCGUGAAAAUCCGGGGCUCAACCCCGGACUUGCGGUGGGUACGGGCAGACUAGAGUGUGGUAGGGGAGACUGGAAUUCCUGGUGUAGCGGUGAAAUGCGCAGAUAUCAGGAGGAACACCUGUGGUGUAGACGGCUCUCUGGACCGCAACUGACGCUGAGACACGAAAGCGUGGGUAGCAAACAGG